UGGUGCACAAUACUUCAAAGAUGAUCCAUUUGCAAUAAGUCUAGCCUAUGUUCUUGCAGAAUUAGUGAGCACCACGCCAUCGCGUCAAGGAUAUGACUACCACAACAUUUCUCCAUACCCCAAUGCUUUUGCAUAUGGACAUGCUGCUUGCAACAACAACACUACUACUACUUCUCUAACCAAACAAGAUUGUAAGACUUGCUUGGAUUCAGCUAAAGAUAACUUGCUUACUAGUUGUGAUG
rnacentral:misc_RNA from 1 species